GCAAGUCUGGUGCCAGCAGCCGCGGUAAUUCCAGCUCCAAUAGCGUAUAUUAAAGUUGUUGCAGUUAAAAAGCUCGUAGUUGAACCUUGGGCCUGGCCGGCCGGUCUGCCUCACCGCAUGCACUGGUUUGGUUGGGCCUUUCCUUCUGGGGAGCCGCAUGUCCUUCACUGGAUGUGUUGGGGAACCAGGACUUUUACUUUGAAAAAAUUAGAGUGUUUAAAGCAGGCAUUAGCUCGAAUACAUUAGCAUGGAAUAAUAGAAUAGGACGCGUGGUUCUAUUUUGUUGGUUUCUAGGACCACCGUAAUGAUUAAUAGGGAUAGUCGGGGGCAUCAGUAUUCAAUCGUCAGAGGUGAAAUUCUUGGAUCGAUUGAAGACUAACUACUGCGAAAGCAUUUGCCAA
rnacentral:rRNA from 1 species